rnacentral:rRNA from 1 species
GAUGAACGCUGGCGGCGUGCUUAACACAUGCAAGUCGAACGGAAAGGCUCCUGCUUGCUGCGGUACUCGAGUGGCGAAAGGGUGAGUAACACGUGGGUGAUCUGCCCUGCACUUCGGGAUAAGCCUGGGAAACUGGGCCUAAUACCGGAUAGGACGAUGGUUUGGAUGCCAUUGUGGAAAGUUUUUCGGUUUGGGAUGGGCGAGGGGCCUAUCAGCUUGUUGGUAGGGUAAUGGCCUACGAAGGCCUCGACGGGUAGCCGGCCUGUGAGGGUGUACAGGCACAUUGGGACUGAGGUAGGGCCCAGAGGGCAACGGGGGGCAGCGGUGGGAAUCCUUGCACAAUGGGCGCAAGCAGGAUACAACGGCGUCGCGUGGGGAAUGACGGUCUUCGGGGAAUAAACUCCUUUCGCUAGGGACGAAGCGAAAGUGACGGUACCUGAAGAAGAAGCACCGGCUAACUACGUG